rnacentral:rRNA from 1 species
GACGAACCGAGCGAACGUUAUUCGGAAUCACUGGGCUUAAAGGGUGCGUAGGCGGGCUGUCAAGUCUGGGGUGAAAUCCCGCGGCUCAACCGUGGAACUGCCUUAGAUACUGAUGGCCUCGAGGGAGGUAGGGGCAUGCGGAACUGUAGGUGGAGCGGUGAAAUGCGCAGAUAUCAGGAGGAACACCGGUGGCGAAGGUGGUUCUCUGGGCAUGAUCUGACGCUGAGGAGCGAAAGUGUGGGGAGCGAACAGG